rnacentral:tRNA from 1 species
GCCCUCAUAGCACAGUGGUAGUGCGUCCCACUCGUAAUGGGGAGGUCGGUUGUUCGAAUCAGCCUGUGGGCA